GCCUUGGUAGUUCAACGGAUAGAACAACGGUUUCCUAAACCGUGGAUAGGGGUUCGAUUCCCCUCUGAGGUACAA
rnacentral:tRNA from 1 species